rnacentral:rRNA from 1 species
UACGUAGGUGGCAAGCGUUGUCCGGAUUUAUUGGGUUUAAAGGGUGCGUAGGCGGCCCUGUAAGUCAGUGGUGAAAUACCUCAGCUCAACUGAGGGGGUGCCAUUGAUACUGCAGGGCUUGAGUACAGAUGAGGUAGGCGGAAUUGACGGUGUAGCGGUGAAAUGCAUAGAUAUCGUCAAGAACACCGAUAGCGAAGGCAGCUUACCAAGCUGUAACUGACGCUGAGGCACGAAAGUGUGGGGAUCAAACAGG